GCCCGGGUGGCCGAGUGGUUAGGCAGUCGGCUGCAGACCGACGUACAGGGGUUCGAAUCCCCUCCCGGGCU
rnacentral:tRNA from 1 species